rnacentral:pre_miRNA from 1 species
AAAAAGGCAAACUCUAUAUUUCCGUGUCCAACUUUGACUGUCCGUCUUAUAUGAAAUUUUUUUAUAAUUUGAAUUUUUAUUGUUGUUAGAUGAUAAAACAUGAUUAAUAUUUUAUGCAUAACUUGUCUUUUUAAUUUUUUUAUAAUUUUUUCAAAUAAGAUGGACGGUCAAAAGUUGGACACGGAAAUUAGGG